AAGUCGUAACAAGGUUUCCGUAGGUGAACCUGCGGAAGGAUCAUUAACACGUAUCCAACGUAUACACCCCUGUGGUCCUGUGCGCGGCUCUAUGUGUGAGUGGUAGAAACCACUUUGUGACUUGAGUGGUCACAAUGAAAAUUUCUUGAUUGAAUCUAAUUUAACCUGCGAGGUCAAGUAGAAUUUAAUCUUGGAAUUAGGUAAUACCAGUUUUCUGCGAGAAAACAGCUCCAUAUAGCAGACGUUUUAAUAACCAAACCAUUACCAAAUUUGACUAAUUUAGAAAUAAGUAUGAUGCGCUCUGCUUUAUUUCGAAAUACGAAACGAUAACAACUCUUAACAACGGAUAUCUUGGUUCUC
rnacentral:misc_RNA from 1 species